GGAGAGAUGUCCGAGCGGUUUAAGGAACCGGUCUUGAAAACCGGCGGUGCGUGAGCAUCCGUGGGUUCGAAUCCCACUCUCUCCGCCA
rnacentral:tRNA from 1 species